rnacentral:tRNA from 1 species
UAGUAAGUAGUGUAGUGGGAGCACAGGGAGCUUUGAACUCCCCAGAUUGGGUUCGAGCCCCUUCUUUCUAA